UUAGUCGUGGCCAAGUGGUUAAGGCGAUGGACUUGAAAUCCAUUGGGGUCUCCCUACAGAGGUUCAAGUCCUGAUAACUAUG
rnacentral:tRNA from 1 species